GAUAUGUUGCAGGAGCGGGGUGUUUGGGAGUCCCCAUUCCCUGGUAGGGAUGCCCAGUGCACCUGCCCAAUGCUGACCUGAGCUCUGAAGCUGGAUGGCAGUGAGCUGAGGUGGCAAUGUGCUCUCCUCUGUAACUCAGGAUGUGCAGGGAGACAGAGCACAGUCAGGCUGAGAGCAGCUGGAUGACGGAUAGAGCUCCUGCUGCCACCCAGGAGAUCCUGGCAGAGCCCCCAUGGAGCUUGGCUCGCAGGAACAUGCGGCUGCUCCUGGCUGUCUCGGGGACGAGUUCAGCUUCGAGCGCUGCCGCUUCCAAAGCAGGGCUGAGAGCGCAGCCAGCCGAGCGCCCGGGGAGCUGCACCCGCCGGGGCGCCGCUCCCUUCCCGGGGUGCGCGGAGCAGGCGUGG